AACGAACGCUGGCGGCAGGCCUAACACAUGCAAGUCGAACGCCCUGGCAACAGGGAGUGGCAGACGGGUGAGUAACGCGUGGGAACGUGCCCUUCGGUUCGGAAUAACUCAGGGAAACUUGAGCUAAUACCGGAUACGUGCGAGAGCAGAAAGAUUUAUCGCCGAAGGAUCGGCCCGCGUCCGAUUAGCUAGUUGGUGAGGUAAUGGCUCACCAAGGCGACGAUCGGUAGCUGGUCUGAGAGGAUGAUCAGCCACACUGGGACUGAGACACGGCCCAGACUCCUACGGGAGGCAGCAGUGGGGAAUAUUGGACAAUGGGCGCAAGCCUGAUCCAGCCAUGCCGCGUGAGUGAUGAAGGCCCUAGGGUUGUAAAGCUCUUUCGCCAGGGACGAUAAUGACGGUACCUGGAUAAGAAGCCCCGGCUAACUUCGUGCCAGCAGCCGCCGUAA
rnacentral:rRNA from 1 species